GAUGAACGCUGGCGGCGUGCCUAACACAUGCAAGUCGAGCGAACAGACGAGGCGCUCGCCUGUAUGCAGCUACCGGCGGAUGGGUGAGUAAUACGAGGCUAACUUAUCGUUAAGACUAGGGUCACUUCAGGGGACCGGAGAUAAUACCGGUUAUUAUAUUGAAAGGCAUGGUUCUUUAGAGCUAGACCUUUUUGAUGACACUUAGACAUGGUACCGCGCCGCAUUAGCUAGUUGGUAAGGUAACGGCUUACCAAGGCAACGAUGCGUAGCCGACCUGAGAGGGUGAUCAGCCACACUGGAACUGAGACACGGUCCAGACUCCUACGGGAGGCAGCAGUAGGGAAUCUUCCGCAAUGGGCGAAAGCUUGACGGAGCAACGCCGCGUGAGUGAAGAAGGUCUUCGGAUCGUAAAACUCUGUUAUUAGGGAAGAACGAAUGUAUGAGUAACUAUGCACGUCUUGACGUUACCUAAACAAAAAGCCACGGCUAACUUCGUG
rnacentral:rRNA from 1 species